rnacentral:rRNA from 1 species
CCUACGGGAGGCAGCAGUGAGGAAUAUUGGUCAAUGGACGAGAGUCUGAACCAGUCAAGUAGCGUGAAGGAUGACUGCCCUAUGGGUUGUAAACUUCUUUUAUAUGGGAAUAAAACGUUCCACGUGUGGGAUUUUGUAUGUACCAUAUGAAUAAGGAUCGGCUAACUCCGUGCCAGCAGCCGCGGUAAUACGGAGGAUCCGAGCGUUAUCCGGAUUUAUUGGGUUUAAAGGGAGCGUAGGUGGAUUGUUAAGUCAGUUGUGAAAGUUUGCGGCUCAACCGUAAAAUUGCAGUUGAAACUGGCAGUCUUGAGUACAGUAGAGGUGGGCGGAAUUCGUGGUGUAGCGGUGAAAUGCUUAGAUAUCACGAAGAACUCCGAUUGCGAAGGCAGUUCACUGGACUGCAACUGACACUGAGGCUCGAAAGUGUGGGUAUCAAACAGGAUUAGAUACCCUUGUAGUC